GCAGUAGUAGUACAACGGUUAGUACUCCACAUUGCCAAUGUGGUGAUACGGGUUCGAUUCCCGUCUAUUGCU
rnacentral:tRNA from 1 species